AUUGAACGCUGGCGGCAUGCCUUACACAUGCAAGUCGAACGGUAACAGGUCUUCGGAUGCUGACGAGUGGCGAACGGGUGAGUAAUACAUCGGAACGUGCCCGAUCGUGGGGGAUAACGGAGCGAAAGCUUUGCUAAUACCGCAUACGAUCUACGGAUGGAAGCAGGGGACCGCAAGGCCUUGCGCGGACGGAGCGGCCGAUGGCAGAUUAGGUAGUUGGUGGGAUAAAAGCUUACCAAGCCGACGAUCUGUAGCUGGUCUGAGAGGACGACCAGCCACACUGGGACUGAGACACGGCCCAGACUCCUACGGGAGGCAGCAGUGGGGAAUUUUGGACAAUGGGCGAAAGCCUGAUCCAGCCAUGCCGCGUGCAGGAUGAAGGCCUUCGGGUUGUAAACUGCUUUUGUACGGAACGAAAAGCCUCCUUCUAAUAAAGAGAGGUCAUGACGGUACCGUAAGAAUAAGCACCGGCUAACUACGUGCCAGCCGCCGCAGUAAAAC
rnacentral:rRNA from 1 species